GCUACGGGUGGCAGCAGUGAGGAAUAUUGGUCAAUGGGCGGGAGCCUGAACCAGCCAAGCCGCGUGAGGGAGGAAGGUACAGAGGAUCGUAAACCUCUUUUAUAAGGGAAUAAAGUCUGGGACGAGUCCCGGGAUGGAUGUACCUGAUGAAAAAGGAUCGGCUAACUUCGUGCCAGCAGCCGCGGUAAUACGGAGGAUGCGAGCGUUAUCCGGGUUUAUUGGGUGUAAAGGGUGCGUAGGCGGCCUGUUAAGUCAGGGGUUAAAGGCUGGGGUUCAACCCUCGCAGGGCCGUUGAAACUGGCAGGCUUGAGUUGGUGUGAGGCAGGCGGAAUGCGUGGUGUAGCGGUGAAAUGCUUAGAUAUCGCGCAGAACCCCGAUUGCGAAGGCAGCCUGCCGGGUCCUCACUGACGCUGAGGCACGAAAGCGUGGGUAUCGAACAGGAUUAGAUACCCGUGUAGUC
rnacentral:rRNA from 1 species